GCAGAAAAGUAUUUUAUAACUCUUGUUAAAAACAUAAAUAAAAAAAAGUAUUUCAUAAUUGUGGUAAUACAUGGUAGAGCAUGUCUGUACACAAUGUCUAACAAAUAGUUGUAGCUUUCCAUUUUUCAGAAGUCAAGAAACAAGGCUAGAAACAGAGCCUACUAGAACAGCCUCGAGACCACGCCCACCUGCCAAAGUGCCGAAGGAAGGCUUGAAAACACAGAAACAUACCAUUUUUACUUCAUGAAUAUCUUCUGUAACCAAGAAAAUGGGAGAUAACGCGCUCCUUCCUUGAAUUGCUUUGAGACCAUGCCCACUUCAUUUAUCCAUUGGCACUUCAUCAACCUUAUAGUAGCUCUUUGGACUCCUCAGACAUCAUGGAGCAAAGAUCUGCUGGCUAUUCUUUGAGCGCAUCAGGUGUGAGUGAGAUAGCAGGCCUUUUUGCAGCCAUAAAUGACGUCGAUCGUUUCUUUGUCUGUAACACACCAAAACAACUAGCUACAUGUACCUGCUUCUAACUUGGAAAUAUAGAAAGAGAAGGUUUGACAUAGCCUUCAAUACCUUUACUUUGUGCAGCAGACAAUUUUAGAAAUAGUUUUAAGCAGUAGUAUGCUUCUCGAAGCAUUAAUGCGUUACUGACCAUUUCAAUGACCCACCCCCAGAUGCAUUAAUGCAUUAUUGACCGUGAAAGGGUUAAAGUUAUUUGGGUGAUUGGGUACUGUUGAUUAUUGGGAUUUUCUAGAUUUUUUGUUGAUUGGAGUGGUUCUAUAUGGCAAAAUUGUUGGGCCUCACUCUUGUGUAUAAGAGUGAUUUAUUUUAUGCUGGGCAAGGCAAAAAGCAGUAAAAUUAAGAGCAGUAGUAUAAGCAGAAAGGUAGCGAUAUCAAUAGUUAAGGAGUAACGUUGCUAAUUAACUUUGGUGUUCUUUAUCCAAGGGCUUUUUGUAAAUGAAAGAGCACUAGAGCAGUAUAAAUGUUACAGUUAUGGAAGCGUACAAGAAGUAUAGGUUAUACACCGAGGUCAAGGUUUCUAUGGGAUUUAUUGACCGAGGGAUGCAGUCCCGAGGUCAAUAAAUGCCAUAGAAACCGAGACCGAGGUGUAUAACCGUGUUCUACCAUGCAUCCAAUCAGAUUAGAUGCAUUUCUUGUAGCUAGGAUACACAAAAAGUAUAAAAAUCCUUACCAUUAGCAACCAAUUCAUUUUAAGUCACGCACUAGAAUGGAAAAUCAGCUUGGUAGACAUGCUCGUCUGUUCUCAAAAGAUGCGACUAACACAGCCGCCAUUGAUAGCUCUGGAAACGCCUAUCUCAUCAUUUUAUGACUGCCCCGCCUACUUCAUUAGUGCUAUAUACCAUCUUGUUUCGCAACGGACAAGGAUUUAAAGAUGCACAACAGCACUGUGCGCCAUGCACAACUAAAAAAGCAAUAUAAUGGGUAGAAAAUAUUCUGAAUGACUGGUGCAAGGAAAGAAUGAAAGAUUUGGAGAAGCUCCAACCAGGCCACUCUUCUUAAUGGAGAAAUACUGUUUAAAAUGUUUGCUGCAGCAACUGGGGAAUCGAUGGUUACAAACAAACCACUCACUUCGCGGCGUGGCUGCUGCUACUAGACUAUUUCAAGCUGGUGUUGAUGAACAAUUAAUCAUGAAAAGAACAGGUCACAGAAGCAUGGAUGGUGUACGAAUUUAUAAGCACAUUUCAGAUCAACAAAAUGCCGGAAGACGUUUCCUCAAUAAUAUUAUUAUUACAAACAAAAACAGCAGUAGCUAGUGACGAUAUACCAAUUCACCUCAUCCUCCAAAAGCACAAAACAUAUCUCUAGAUGAAGACAGACACUUCAGCUUUAAUAACUGCACAAACAUACACAUAACAAUUCAAAAAUAACAUUACUAUUAUUGCUGUCAUCAUUUUUAUUCCUAAAAUUUCCCAAACUUUGGCAGAAG